rfam:Anopheles gambiae str. PEST chromosome 3L, whole genome shotgun sequence.
AGGGGGAUACGCUCUGCAAUGGGAUGGGAUCCGAAGCCGCCUCGAGGGAUAAUACAGGCUCUCCCAUCCAACUCCUAUUCCGACACGUCCUCGUCGUGCAGAGUGGUAACGUGUGUCAUCACAUAUCCAAACUUGGGUACACGGGCUUGACCAAGGGGUUGCCCUUGGGCGGAUGGUGGCAUAUGGCAAACCAGGAGGGG